ACGGCCUAACACAUGCAAGUCGAGGAGUAACAGGGGCAGCUUGCUGCCUGCUGACGACCGGCGCACGGGUGAGUAACGCGUAUGCAACCUGUCUUUAACAGGAGGAUAGCCCCCGGAAACGGGGAUUAAUACUCCAUGAUACUUGUGUUUCGCAUGAGAUACAAGUUAAAGCUGAGGCGGUUAAAGGUGGGCAUGCGUGACAUUAGCUAGUUGGUGAGGUAUCGGCUCACCAAGGCGACGAUGUCUAGGGGUUCUGAGAGGAAGGUCCCCCACACUGGUACUGAGACACGGACCAGACUCCUACGGGAGGCAGCAGUGAGGAAUCUUGGUCAAUGGACGGAAGUCUGAACCAGCCAUGUCGCGUGCAGGAAGACGGCCCUACGGGUUGUAAACUGCUUUUGUACGGGAAUAAAAGCCAUUACGAGUAGUGGAUUGAAUGUACCGUACGAAUAAGCAUCGGCUAACUCCGUGCCAGCAGCCGCGGUAAUACGGAGGAUGCGAGCGUUAUCCGGACUUAUUGGGUUUAAAGGGUGCGUAGGCGGAAUGGUAAGUCAGCGGUGAAAUACUACAGCUCAACUGUAGGGAUGCCGAUGAUACUGUCAUUCUUGAGUAUACUUGAGGCAUGCGGAAUGAGUUAGUGUAGCGGUGAAAUGCAUAGAUAUUACUCAGAACACCGAUAGCGAAGGCAGCAUGCUAAGGUAAUACUGACGCUGAGGCACGAAAGCGUGGGUAUCAAACAGGAUUAGAUACCCUGGUAGUCCACGCCGUAAACGAUGNAUUACUGGUUGUUUGUCCGUUAAAGGAUAAGCGACUGAGCGAAAGCAUUAAGUAAUCCACCUGGGGGGAGUACGUCGGCNACGAUGAAACUCCAAAGGAAUUGACGGGGGCCCGNCACAAGCG
rnacentral:rRNA from 1 species